rnacentral:lncRNA from 1 species
UGAAACUUCAUCAUUUCACACCUGUUCAGGAUGCAUCUCCUGUCCUUGAGCAACACUUCAACUGGCUGCUGCAUCUUCUCCUUUAUCUCCAGGAUCAGCUCGACCAGCGAGCACUUCUGCUCUGUCACCCUGGCCAGGUUUUCAGAGAUCAUCACCAGAAUCUGUGUCUCCUCCUCCUCCAGCUUCUGAAGCAGCAGCUUCUCCUCAUCAGCCAGCAGC